rnacentral:lncRNA from 1 species
CUUAAAUUCUCCCCCGGGGAGGGAAGCAUGCACUGUUUCAAAUAUUUGUUUAUUGUUUAUUAAACCAUGUUUGUAUUGUUUUAUGAUAUGUUUAAAAAUAUUUGUGAGCAGAUCUUGUAAUUGUUGCUUUUGCACUAAUAAUGACAAAGCUAGUUCUGCACUAGUUGGCAAAUAUAUUUCAAAUCAGAAUCGUGAUCCUGCCUGUGACUGUAAAUUCACAUAGCUCAGAUUUCAAGGAAACCCUCCUGAUUUACAUAAGGUUGUCCCAAAUUUGAAGGAGAUCUCUUACCUUUUAUUAUGUGAAAUAUCAGAAAGUGUUAUAAACUAUAAUUCCACUGAACUGUAUUUUCAUGUAAAAUCGUCUAGGAGCUCCGAGUGUGCUUUUCAUCGCCCACAAGAGGAGGCGAAGCAGCCUGCUUCAGAGAGUGGAAAGUUUUGCCUGGUUUGGAAGACUGGUGAAGUUAAAGGUUAUGCUCUUGGGUUUGUGCUUCAUCAUCUAUGCUUUGUCUUUCUUCACGAAUUAUGGCUAGUAGAACUGGGCUCAGCAUCUAAAUUAAACACGUCUUUGAGCCUUUUCUGUAUACCUGCAAAUGCCUGCUGACAUUGCCCAGACACUGCAAGAGCCUUAAGAGCAGCCUUUGCCUCUCAUCCCCUCAAAGAGAAGGAAGAUAAUCCUGAUUCAAGGGGGUAGAUAUGUGGCAGUUUCACAAGACAAUGUGAAUAGCCCUCUAGCAC